GUCCACGCUGUAAACGAUGCGAACUAGCUUUUUGAUUUAGGAUUAGGAGGCUAAGGGAAACCGAUAAGUUCGCCACCUGGGGAGUACGCCGGCAACGGUGAAACUCAAAGGAAUUGACGGGGUCCGCACAAGCGGUGGAGCAUGUGGUUUAAUUCGAUGAUACGCGAGGAACCUUACCUGGGCUAAAUCAGGUAUGAAUUAUUCAGAGAUGAGUAAGCCAGCAAUGGCAUAUCUGAAGGUGCUGCAUGGCUGUCGU
rnacentral:rRNA from 1 species